rnacentral:lncRNA from 1 species
CUGUUGGCGUCCGACCGCACCGGAACCCACUCACACCGGCACUGCCCACCAACGUCGGAAAACAAAGAGAGAAUAACUCUCUCGCUCCCUCGACACCGGACUCAAGGAUCACCGCUUCGCUUAUCCCUACGAAGGAUAAAAGAUUACCCCGUGGUAUCAAUAGGGUAAAACACUUGAGCACCGCAGCGGAUUAUCAAACCAAAGGAAGAAGAAAUAGGAAGAAGAUAGCAAAGCAAACACAAAGAUGUAACGAGGUUCGGCUACAAAUAGCCUACGUCCUCCACCGCUCCAAAUCUCAACUAGGAUGAAUAGAUUACAGAGAUGGCACACACCCGAACGAUCACACGAGAUCGCUCUAUAAGAGAUUCACACAGAAUUCCCUUUGCACAAGAAGUAGGAUCCCAAUCCUCUUCUUCUCUAGAACCCUAGC